CUGUUUAACAAGUGAUGGGUGUACAACGUCAUUUCUCUAUCUCGCAUUGAUUCUGCUUAAUGCUUCAUUGACCUCUUCAGUCCUCUCUCUAGUGUUACUAUGCUUGGCUUGAGUGUUACACAAAUCCUGCAUUUCCCCCAGGCACUCCACUAGAGCUUUCACAAACAUGUCUGAAGAAGUCUCAGGGCUG